rnacentral:rRNA from 1 species
GAUGAACGCUAGCUACAGGCUUAACACAUGCAAGUCGAGGGGAAACGGCAUUAAGUGCUUGCACUUUUUGGACGUCGACCGGCGCACGGGUGAGUAACGCGUAUCCAACCUGCCCCUUACCAGGGAAUAACCCGUUGAAAGACGGACUAAUGCCCUAUGCAGUCCUUUGACGGCAUCAGAUUAUGACUAUAGAUUCAUCGGUAUGGGAUGGGGAUGCGUCUGAUUAGCUUGUUGGCGGGGUAACGGCCCACCAAGGCAUCGAUCAGUAGGGGUUCUGAGAGGAUGGUCCCCCACAUAGGAACUGCGACACAGUCCUCACUCGUACGCGAGGCAGCAGUGAGUUAUAUUGGUCAGUGGUCGCUAGCCUGAUCCAGCCAAGUAGCGUGCAGGACGCCUGCCCUAUGGGUUGUAACCUGCUUUUAUGCGGGGAUAAAGUCACCCACGUGUGGGUGUUUGCAGGUACCGCAUGAAUAAGGACCGGCUAAUUCCGUG